rnacentral:rRNA from 1 species
GAAUCUGCCUUUAGGUCCGGGACAACCACUGGAAACGGUGGCUAAUACCGGAUGUGCCGCAACGUGAAAGGGGAAACCCGCCUGAAGAUGAGCUCGCGUCUGAUUAGCUAGUUGGUGAGGUAAAGGCUCACCAAGGCGACGAUCAGUAGCUGGUCUGAGAGGAUGACCAGCCACACUGGGACUGAGACACGGCCCAGACUCCUACGGGAGGCAGCAGUGGGGAAUUUUCCGCAAUGGGCGAAAGCCUGACGGAGCAAGACCGCGUGAGGGAAGAAGGCUCUUGGGUCGUAAACCUCUUUUAUCAGGGAAGAACAAAAUGACGGUACCUGAAGAAUCAGCCUCGGCUAACUCCGUGCCAGCAGCCGCGGUAAUACGGAGGAGGCAAGCGUUAUCCGGAAUUAUUGGGCGUAAAGCGUCCGCAGGUGGCUUAUCAAGUCUGCUGUCAAAGAGUGGGGCUUAACCCCAUUAAGGCAGUGGAAACUGAGAAGCUAGAGUGCCGUAGGGGUAGAGGGAAUUCCCGGUGUAGCGGUGAAAUGCGUAGAGAUUGGGAAGAACACCGGUGGCGAAAGCGCUCUGCUGGACCACAACUGACACUCACAGGACGAAAGCUAGGGGAGCG